rnacentral:misc_RNA from 1 species
GAUGAAGAACGCAGCGAAAUGCGAUAAGUAGUGUGAAUUGCAGAAUUCAGUGAAUCAUCGAAUCUUUGAACGCUCAUUGCGACCCUUGGUAUUCCAUGGGGCAUGCCUGUUCGAGCGUCAUUACAACCCUCAAGCUCAGCUUGGUGUUGGGCCCCGCCGCCCCGGCGGGCCCUAAAGUCAGUGGCGGUGCCGUCCGGCUCCGAGCGUAGUAAUUCUUCUCGCUCUGGAGGUCCGGUCGUGUGCUCGCCAGCAACCCCCAAUUUUUUUCAGGUUGACCUCGGAUCAGGUAGGGAUACCCGCUGAACUUAAGCAUAUCAAUAAGCGGAGGA